rnacentral:ncRNA from 2 species
AAGACCGACGGCAAUGGACUCUGCCGGACCAUGAUGGUCGAACCGUCUCCUGCAUGGGGGCUGAUGAUUCCUACCCAACG